AAGUCCCUCACCAUCCAGCCAGACCAUUGGCUACUGCCCAGGAAUGGGUAUAUAGUUGCACAUCUGGUCAUUUUUUUCUUCCAAGCAAAAUGUACAAACAGGUGCACUUCCUAAUUCAGCCCACUAUGAAGAUUUCCCUUCAGGAAUGUCCUGGAAAAAGACUGCAGCUGUCCACUUUCAGGUGGUGCCUGCAUAACAUGCAGAACCAUCUGUAAACUGGGCUUUAGUCUUCCUCUAUCAACUGAUCAUAAGGGCACACCUGUGGAGCCUCACAUGUGUGCUGGGGGACAGAUGGCAGUAUAGCAGCAGUACAGUGGGCAUAUAUGCCACUUCUUCAUGUAACUUACUUGUACCUUCAGGACCUGGUUGGGCCUGAUCACAUGUACACUACUUCCAGGCCAUGCCCCUAGGACACACCUCCAAGCAGGCCCCACCUCCUGACCACAUCUGGCUAAAGAACUCAUUAAUGGAUGAAUCCACUGAUGAAUACAGCACCCCAUGAUCCAGUCACUUUCUUUUGUGCCUUAUAUCUAGAUGUCCUCCCAAAGCCUCAUGCACUCAUAGGUGGGGGGUUUCAGAGGUGGCUGGAUGUAGGGUGUGUGACACUGGGGUUAAAGAGGUGUGGUACUAAAUUAGUGCACUGAUUGGAAUUAACAUAGUUCUGAGUGUGGCUGCAAGGAUGUACUGAAGACAGAAUCCCCACGUGGGUGUGGAUGGCACCACCCAAAAGGUUGGUAGCCUGUUGGGAUAAAGGGAAAGGCAGGCUUGCAGCUGCGGCUCCCUCUGCCUACCCUGCCAUGGACUGUUUCUUCUCUGUGAUGUCCCCACCUUGGAGCCAGUCAACUAUGGGCCGAAACCUCCACAAAUUGACCAAAGCCCUGCUUCCCAGAGGCUCCUCCCGGGCUCCUGGAAAGGGACUCCGGCCUCGACUCGCUUCCUGUCCUCGGAGCAGUACUCCUGAGUCUGCAACCCAGUGGCAGCAGUGUUGUGCUGUGGUUUGUUCUGGUAACAGCGGCCAAAUCCAGUUCACAGUUUCCCUUUCCUCCUCCUCAUGCACUUCCUUCCGCCCCAGCGGUGAUGCAGAGUGAAGUGUCCCGGCGGCCCCUCUGCAGGAGACUGGGCUGCAGACCCCAGGUUCCCUCUUCCAGGCUCAGGGCCCCAGGACUGGCUGAGCAGCGCUCCCUUGGUGCAGGUCGGUUUGGCUUCAGGACCUCUCCUCCCGGUGCUGUGCCUUCAGGCUUCUAAUUCUCCUAGUCCCAGGGGUGAGAGAUGCUUCCCACACUGCUCCCUUUGUGAUACCUUCAAGCCCGUUUUUACUCAGUUCUACUUAGCUGUUCCUUUUGUUAAAUUUUUCCUAUUACAAGAAUGAGUGCAGUUUCUGUCUCCUGGCUGAACCUUGACCAAUACAGAAACUGGGGCCACCAGGCAGGAAUUACAUGAGAUUCAGUCAGCAAAGUUAUUCCUAUCUCUUUUUCCAGUACUAGGGGUUGAACCCAGGGAUGGUGAGAUGCAUUUCCAGCACUUUUUACAGUUCUGAAACUCAUUUGCCCCAGUGGGGGUGGACUUUAUCAUCUUCCUGCUUUAACCUCCCAGGUGGCUGGUAAUCCCCAGGCUCACAUACUAUGGGGGCUAAGGACAAAACAGUGCCAUAUAAUAGUCUUGAUUCAAAGUCUGGCCUCUGCUGUAAGAGACCCAUUCUGCAAAUGCUGACUCUGAACAGGUACCAUCAGUGGCCGCCUCAACUUUCCGUCAGGUGAGGUGCUUCUGGGCAACACGGUGUGUGAUGAAAGCAGCUAAUUCCAUGGGCGCCAGGCCAUGACCACUCUUCUGAUGUGCAGCAUCCCUUGAUCAGAGCCUGUGUUGUGUGGAAUAAAGACAAAGACACUUGCCUAUGAGUCCAUACAGCUCCCUGCUCCUGGCCAUCUCUAGUUCAGACGAAACGGACAAACAAAUGUGCCUCUCAGCAUUUGGCCCACCAGGGAGAUUUCUUCUACCACUGUCCAGAGCCACUCUGGAGUGGAGCUCUAGGGCUACAGCUGUCCACUUUCUGUUGAUGCCAGCAUACUGUGCAGAACCAUCUGUAAGCCAGGCAUGAAUGUUUUCCUCCUCACGCAAUGUUGUGUGAGAUCCUAGGACAAAAGGAAGAGAGGCAAUGAAGUGAGAGCUGUGGAGGGAGUCUGAACUGCCUGUUCACACAGCUCACAUGCCAUUUCCUUGGCUGGAUGUCGUGGCACACGCCUGGAAUCCCAGCACUUGGGAGGCUGAGGCAAGAGGAUUGCUGUGAGUUCAAGGCCAACCCAGGCUACACAGCGAGACCCUGUCUCAAAAACCAAACAAAUGAAAAAUCGAUGCCAUUUUCCCAUGGUACCAAACUGCUGCCAUACAUCCCCCAUCCCAUGGCUCAGUGAGGAAGAGGACGUGCACCACAUCCACGGCCACUUGAAGCUCAUGACUGGGAGACCCAUGGUAUUGGCAGGACAGUCAUCUGCACCAUGAGGUAGCUGGUGGCCCAAGCCGAUUCUCCUACUGGCACUCACCAGGGCUUCAUCCAUUACCAGCAUUUGCCAAAGCCACUAUGAAGAGCAGGACCUGCUGGAUCUAAGGGCCAAGUGGAAAAGCAGUUUGAACUGCAGCCUGCACUUGCUGCCAAGAAAUCACUUGCUGUGAUCUUUACCCAAAAUCACUUACUUAAGGGCCAGGGAUUUAGCUCAGUGGUUCUGCUGCCUGCCUCGCAAGCACAAGGAUCCCGGAUCCCUGUACCAAACAAACAAACAAACAAACAAAAAAAACCAAAAACAUCACUUACUUAAUACGUUUGUUUAAAUUCACUUCCUAUGUUUUUCCUAAAUAAAUUCACUCUCAUCUUAGGCAGUGGUAUCUGCUUAACCUGAUUAUAUUUUUCAUAUAUUUAAGUAAAAUAAAUAGUUAAGAUUUAAAAUAAAGCUCUCAUAUAGGGGCUGAAUGUGUAGCUUGGUGGUAGGGCAGGUGUUGCAUUUGUGAGGGCUUGGGUUCCAUCCCCCUAGCCCUCUCGUCUAAAAAGAGCAAAUUUCAUCCAAAUGCUACUUCAGUUAUCCUAAAGACUUCUAGGAGCACCUAGCCCACCCUUUCUGAAACACUUCACAGGGAGGGAAAACAACACCAAUCCAAAACUGGUGCUGACACUGUCAUUUACAUUUAGAUUGUAUCAUUUACAUUUUUUUUCUUGGAAUCAAUGUUCAGGAACCUGGUCAUCCAGGUCAGAGGAAAAUUACCUUUAGCUGUUCCUAGGGUAUUUCAGCAGCUCCAACACCUCAGAAUCUGCUUGCCUCCUCUCAAGCCUGGGUGGAGUGUGCCUGUCUUGAACAGGACACUGCAGGAGAGAUGCUGCACCACAGCGAGGGCGAAGCUGCCAUCUGUGGACAGUGCAGCUACAGUUUACACCCUGAAUGUCCCCGAGGCUUCAGGACAACGGUCACAGGAAUAGGCACACGUGAAAGGCUUGGCCCUCAGCCUGCCUGUGGGACAGUGGUGGGGCCCUUCCAGAGCUGGGCCCUCGAAAAAGACUUAAGGCCACUGGGGACCUGCCCUGGAAGCAGGGUGUGGGAUGCAGGCCUCUUCCACUCUCUCUUGCUUCCUGGCCACUGUGAGAUGAGCAACUUCCUCUCCCACCAUGAUGUACUGCUUCCCUCAGGACCAAAAGCGAAGGGGCCAAGUGAGCAUGGAUGGAAAACUCCAAGCUAUGAGCCAAAAUUAACCUUCCUCUGUUUUAUUUCUUUUGGUACCGGGAAUCAAACUUGGGACCUUGAGCCUUCGAGGCAGGGCACUACUGAGCUAAAUCUCCAGCCCCUUCCUCUUUUUAAGCUGAUGAUCUCCAGUGUUUUAUUAUGGUAACAGAAACUGACAACACAAAUGGAAGCCACGGAGAAACUGAGACGCACCUGUGGGAGGGAGAAGGGAGCAACCACAGUGGGCUCUACGGGGCCCGCAAGGAAGGGUCUGCUGCAUCCACUAGUGUGGAAUAAAUUAUCUCCUUCUUUUUUUAACCACUUCAUUCUUGGUGGCAUUUAUUUAUUUACUCACU
ensembl:lncRNA